rnacentral:rRNA from 1 species
CCUACGGGAGGCAGCAGUAGGGAAUCUUCCACAAUGGGCGAAAGCCUGAUGGAGCAACGCCGCGUGGGUGAAGAAGGUCUUCGGAUCGUAAAACCCUGUUGUUAGAGAAGAAAGUGCGUGAGAGUAACUGUUCACGUUUCGACGGUAUCUAACCAGAAAGCCACGGCGAACUACGUGCCAGCAGCCGCGGUAAUACGUAGGGGGCAAGCGUUAUCCGGAUUGAUUGGGCGUAAAGGGAACGCAGGCGGUCUGUUAAGUCUGAUGUGAAAGCCUUCGGCUUAACCGGAGUAGUGCAUUGGAAACUGUGAGACUUGAGGGCAGAAGAGGAGAGUGGAACUCCAGGUGUAGCGGUGAAAUGCGUAGAUAUAUGGAAGAACACCAGUGGCGAAAGCGGCUCUCUGGUCUGUAACUGACGCUGAGGUUCGAAAGCGUGGGUAGCAAACAGGAUUAGAUACCCUUGUAGUC